CAUCAUCGGUGCACUGUGCUGAUGAGCCCCACAAAGGGCGAAACAGCUGUCCACUGUUGCCGUUGUUUGAGCUC
rnacentral:hammerhead_ribozyme from 1 species